rnacentral:ncRNA from 1 species
AAGGCCUGAUGUGUGUGAGAUUACCCGCUGAAUUUAAGCAUAUAAGUAAGCGGAGGAAAAGAAACUAACUAGGAUUCCCUUAGUAAUGGCGAAUGAACAGGGAUCAGCUCAGUGCCAAAUCGGAAUCACUUGUGGUUCUGAAAUGUGGCUUGAAGGCAGUACCAGUGGCAUCGCGGACGAAAGUCUCUUGGAAAAGAGCGUCAUAGAGGGUGAGAAUCCCGUGAGUCGUUCGCCGUUUGUCACGUACGGUCUGCGUUCUAACGAGUCGCGUUCCUUGGGAUUGGAGCGUAAACGGGUGGUAAAUUUCAUCCAAAGCAAAAUAUAUACUCGAGACCGAUAGCACAAAAGUACCGUGAGGGAAAGGUGAAAAGAACUUUGAGAAGAGGGUUAAAUAGUGCCUGAAAUCGUUGAGAAGGAAGCGGAUGCCGCCGUUGCAUAUGCUGAUUGUAGGAUUGCUGCUCGCUCCUGUCUUCUGCUACUCAUUCACAGACCUGGUCGUGUUGAGCAGUUGUUUGGCAGAUGUUAGUGGUGUUUCCUACUUUCAGUCGUCAGCAUCACUGGCUGAGUGGAAAUAAUCUUGGAUGCUAAUUGGUUCGCUAUCUGUGAAUUGGUUGCUUCCUUGCGAUACUCACUACUCGGUCAGUGAGGAAGUGCGUUUGCUGGUCAACGAGCUUUUCUACUGUCAUUACCCUGCGCUUUUCGAUUC